rnacentral:rRNA from 1 species
UACGUUCCCGGGCCUUGUACACACCGCCCGUCACACCACGAAAGUUGGUAACACCCGAAGCCGGUGGCCUAACCCUCGGGAGGGAGCCGUCGAAGGUGGGAUCAGCGAUUGGGGUG